ACCUACGGGACGCAGCAGUGGGGAAUAUUGCGCAAUGGGGGCAACCCUGACGCAGCAACGCCGCGUGCAGGAAGAAGGUCUUCGGAUUGUAAACUGUUGUCGCAGGGGAAGAAGACAGUGACGGUACCCUGUGAGAAAGUCACGGCUAACUACGUGCCAGCAGCCGCGGUAAUACGUAGGGAGCAAGCGUUGUCCGGAAUUACUGGGUGUAAAGGGAGCGUAGGCGGGGAUGCAAGUUGGGUGUCAAAACUACCGGCUCAACCGAUAGUCGCACUCAAAACUGCAGCUCUUGAGUGAAGUAGAGG
rnacentral:rRNA from 1 species